ACUGGCAGGCUUGAGUCUUGUAGAGGGGGGUAGAAUUCCAGGUGUAGCGGUGAAAUGCGUAGAGAUCUGGAGGAAUACCGGUGGCGAAGGCGGCCCCCUGGACAAAGACUGACGCUCAGGUGCGAAAGCGUGGGGAGCAAACAGGAUUAGAUACCCUGGUAGUCCACGCCGUAAACGAUGUCUACUUGGAGGUUGUGCCCUUGAGGCGUGGCUUCCGGAGCUAACGCGUUAAGUAGACCGCCUGGGGAGUACGGCCGCAAGGUUAAAACUCAAAUGAAUUGACGGGGGCCCGCACAAGCGGUGGAGCAUGUGGUUUAAUUCGAUGCAACGCGAAGAACCUUACCUGGUCUUGACAUCCACAGAACUUUCCAGAGAUGGAUUGGUGCCUUCGGGAACUGUGAGACAGGUGCUGCAUGGCUGUCGUCAGCUCGUGUUGUGAAAUGUUGGGUUAAGUCCCGCAACGAGCGCAAC
rnacentral:rRNA from 3 species